UACGAGAGUGGCAAGCGUUACCCGGAAUUAUUGGGCGUAAAGCGUCCGCAGGCUGUUAAAUAAGUCGGUUGUUAAAUGUACGGGCUCAACCCGUACGCCGCGAUCGAAACUGUUUAACUUGAGUUAAGAAGAGGUAGAUGGAAUUCUUGGUGUAGUAGUAAAAUGCGUUAAUAUCAAGAGGAACACCAACGGCGAAGGCAGUCUACUGGUCUUAUACUGACGCUCAUGGACGAAAGCGUGGGGAGCGAAUGGG
rnacentral:misc_RNA from 1 species